UACGUAGGGGGCAAGCGUUGUCCGGAUUUAUUGGGCGUAAGAGCGUGUAGGCGGCCAUACAGGUCAGCUGUGAAAACUCGAGGCUCAACCUCGAGACGUCGGUUGAAACCGUAUGGCUAGAGUCCGGAAGAGGAGAGUGGAAUUCCCGGUGUAGCGGUGAAAUGCGUAGAUAUUGGGAAGAACACCGGUGGCGAAGGCGGCUCACUGGCUCAUAUCUGACGCUCAGGCGCGACAGCGUGGGGAUCAAACAGG
rnacentral:rRNA from 1 species